rnacentral:rRNA from 1 species
GACGAACGCUGGCGGCGUGCUUAACACAUGCAAGUCGAACGGUAAGGCCCUUCGGGGUACACGAGUGGCGAACGGGUGAGUAACACGUGGGUGAUCUGCCCUGCACUUCGGGAUAAGCCUGGGAAACUGGGUCUAAUACCGGUUAGGACUCCGGACGUCAUGGCCUGGGGGGGAAAGCUUUUGCGGUGUGGGAUGGGCCCGCGGCCUAUCAGCUUGUUGGUGGGGGGAUGGCCUACCAAGGCGACGACGGGUAGCAGGGCUGAAAGGGUGACCGGCAACACUGGGACUGAGAUACGGCCCAGACUCCUACGGGAGGCAGCAGUGGGGAAUAUUGCACAAUGGGCGCAAGCCUGAUGCAGCGACGCCGCGUGAGGGAUGACGGCCUUCGGGUUGUAAACCUCUUUCAGCAUCGACGAAGCGAAAGUGACGGUAGGUGCAGAAGAAGGACCGGCCAACUACGUGCCAGCCGCCGCCGUAA